CGGGGGUGCCGGCGCAGAGACGAUGCUGUUUCCAGUUACAACACAGAGAACACAACACACACAACCGCCACAGAAGCACUAUGGCAUCACUUCUAUCAGCUUAGCAGCCCUCAAGGAGACUGACUGCAUACUUACACAGAAACUCAUUGAGACACUGAAACCCUUCGGGGUUUUUGAAGAGGAAGAGUAACUGCAGCGCAGGAUUUUAAUUUGGGGAAAACUAAAUAACCUGGUAAAAGAGUGGAUAUGAGAAAUCAGUGAAAGCAAGAAUCUUCCACAAUCUGUAAUUGAAAAUGUAGGAGGAAAAAUUUUUACAUUUGGAUCUUACAGGUUAGGCGUACAUACAAAAGGUGCUGAUAUUGAUGCGUUGUGUGUUGCACCAAGACAUGUUGAUCGAAGUGACUUUUUCACCUCAUUCUAUGAUAAGUUGAAAUUACAGGAAGAAGUAAAAGAUUUAAGAGCUGUUGAAGAGGCAUUCUUACCAGUUAUUAAACUCUGUUUUGUUGGGAUAGAGAUUGAUAUUUUGUUUGCAAGAUUAGCACUGCAGACAAUUCCAGAAGAUUUGGACCUACAAGAUGACAGUCUGCUUAAAAAUUUAGAUGUAAGAUGUAUAAGAAGCCUUAACGGUUGCAGGGUAACCCAUGAAAUUUUACAUCUAGUACCAAACAUUGACAACUUCAGGUUAACUCUGAGAGCUAUCAAACUAUGGGCCAAAUGCCACAACAUCUAUUCCAAUAUAUUAGGUUUCCUCGGUGGUGUUUCCUGGACUAUGCUAGUAGCAAGAACUUGCCAGCUUUAUCCAAAUGCAAUAGCAUCAACACUUGUACAUAAAUUUUUCUUGGUAUUUUCUAAAUGAGAAUGGCCAAAUCCCAUGCUAUUGAAACAGCCUGAAGAAUGCAAUCUUAAUUUGCCUGUAUGAGACCCAAGGGUAAACCCCAGUGAUAGGUACCAUCUUAUGCCUAUAAUUACACCAGCAUACCCGCAACAGAACUCCACGUAGAAUGUGUUCGUUUCAACACGGAUGGUCAUGGUUGAAGAGUUUAAGCAAGGUCUUGCUAUCACAGAUGGAAUUUUGCUGAGUAAGGCAGAGUGGUCCAAACUUUUUGAAGCUCCAAACUUUUUUCAAAAGUACAAGCAUUAUAUUGUGCUUCUAGCAAGUGCACCAAUAGAAAAACAACGCCUAGAAUGGGUGGGCUUGGUGGAAUAAAAAAUCCGAAUCCUAGUUGGAAGCUUGGAGAAGAAUGAAUUUAUUACCCUGGCUCAUGUGAAUCCCCAGUCAUUUCCAGGACCCAAAGAAAAUCCUGAUAAGGAAGAAUUUCGCACAAUGUUGGUGAUUGCGUUAGUGUUUAAAAAAACAGAAAACUCUGAAAACCUCAGUGUUGAUCUCACCUAUGAUAUUCAGUCUUUCACAGAUACAGUUUAUAGGCAAGCAAUAAACAGUAAGAUGUUUGAGGUGGAUAUGAAAAUUGCUGCAAUGCAUGUAAAAAGCAAGCAACUCCAUCAACUACUACCUAAUCAUGUGCUUCAGAAAAACAAAAAGCAUUCAACAGAAGGUGUCAAAUUGACAGCUCUCAAUGACAGCAGCCUUGACUUGUCUAUGGACAGUGAUAACAGCAUGUCUGUGCCUUCACCUACUCGGUGCUACGAAGACCAGUCCAUUGAACAGCUCUGGCAGCUCUCAGGGCAGAAACAGUCCUGCUCCAGCUGUAACAGCAGCAUCUGUGACCAACAUACAGGCUACUGAAGUUUCUGUGCCACUAGUAAAUUCCAGUGAAAGCUCAGGGGGUACAUCGAGUGAAAGCAUCCCUCAAACUGCCACACAACCAGCAAUUUCUCCACCACCAAAGCCUACGGUCUCCAGAGUUGUUUCUUCAACACGUCUGGUAAACCCACCACCUAGAUCUUCAGGAAAUGCAGCAACAAAAAUACCUACUCCUAUAGUAGGAGUCAAGAGGACAUCCUCACCUCAUAAAGAAGAGAGUCCCAAGAACACCAAAACCGAAGAGGACGAAACAAGUGAAGAUGCUAACUGUCUUGCUUCGAGUGGACAUGCUAAAACAGAAGCAAGGGAACAACUUGAUACAGAGACAAGUACAACUCAAUCAGAAACCAUUCAGACAGCAGCUUCUGUGUUGGCCUCUCAGAAAACAUCCAGUACAGACCUUUCUGAUAUCCCUGCUCUCCCUGCAAAUCCUAUUCCUCUUAUCAAGAAUUCAGUAAAACUGAGAUUGAAUCGGUAAAAACAACCUCAGGGGUCCAUAAACAAUAUCUGCCAACUCAACCUGUUCUCUUCAAAUGCUAAAAAAGGAGAAUGGAGGGUACAAGACAAGACAUGACUGAAAUGGAUUUGGGUUUUUUUGGUGACCUCCCUUACUGGGCUAAUCAGCACUUGAUCGGAAGUCCAGGUUACUAUGUGAAGCCAGGAGUGCUAUUAUUACUAUGUUAGCAACAGUUGCAUUAACUAUUUCAAAAAUUACUGCCUUUAAAAAAACUUCAAGCUAUAUUUGUAUCCAUAAUUGACAUCUGGAUUGGGUUUAUGUUUGAUGCAAUGUUUGGAAAAUUUGCAAUACAAACUGGCAUAAAAAUUA